rnacentral:rRNA from 2 species
AGGGCGCACGGUGGAUGCCUUGGCACUAGAAGCCGAUGAAGGACGUUACUAACGACGAUAUGCUUUGGGGAGCUGUAAGUAAGCUUUGAUCCAGAGAUUUCCGAAUGGGGAAACCCAGCAUGAGUUAUGUCAUGUUAUCGAUAUGUGAAUACAUAGCAUAUCAGAAGGCACACCCGGAGAACUGAAACAUCUUAGUACCCGGAGGAAGAGAAAGAAAAUUCGAUUCCCUUAGUAGCGGCGAGCGAAACGGGAAGAGCCCAAACCAACAAGCUUGCUUGUUGGGGUUGUAGGACACUCUAUACGGAGUUACAAAGGACGACAUUAGACGAAUCAUCUGGAAAGAUGAAUCAAAGAAGGUAAUAAUCCUGUAGUCGAAAAUGUUGUCUCUCUUGAGUGGAUCCUGAGUACGACGGAGCACGUGAAAUUCCGUCGGAAUCUGGGAGGACCAUCUCCUAAGGCUAAAUACUCUCUAGUGACCGAUAGUGAACCAGUACCGUGAGGGAAAGGUGAAAAGCACCCCGGAAGGGGAGUGAAAUAGAACCUGAAACCGUGUGCUUACAAGUAGUCAGAGCCCGUUAAUGGGUGAUGGCGUGCCUUUUGUAGAAUGAACCGGCGAGUUACGAUUUGAUGCAAGGUUAAGCAGUAAAUGUGGAGCCGUAGCGAAAGCGAGUCUGAAUAGGGCGUUUAGUAUUUGGUCGUAGACCCGAAACCAGGUGAUCUACCCUUGGUCAGGUUGAAGUUCAGGUAACACUGAAUGGAGGACCGAACCGACUUACGUUGAAAAGUGAGCGGAUGAACUGAGGGUAGCGGAGAAAUUCCAAUCGAACCUGGAGAUAGCUGGUUCUCUCCGAAAUAGCUUUAGGGCUAGCCUCAAGUGAUGAUUAUUGGAGGUAGAGCACUGUUUGGACGAGGGGCCCCUCUCGGGUUACCGAAUUCAGACAAACUCCGAAUGCCAAUUAAUUUAACUUGGGAGUCAGAACAUGGGUGAUAAGGUCCGUGUUCGAAAGGGAAACAGCCCAGACCACCAGCUAAGGUCCCAAAAUAUAUGUUAAGUGGAAAAGGAUGUGGCGUUGCCCAGACAACUAGGAUGUUGGCUUAGAAGCAGCCAUCAUUUAAAGAGUGCGUAAUAGCUCACUAGUCGAGUGACACUGCGCCGAAAAUGUACCGGGGCUAAACAUAUUACCGAAGCUGUGGAUUGUCCUUUGGACAAUGGUAGGAGAGCGUUCUAAGGGCGUUGAAGCAUGAUCGUAAGGACAUGUGGAGCGCUUAGAAGUGAGAAUGCCGGUGUGAGUAGCGAAAGACGGGUGAGAAUCCCGUCCACCGAUUGACUAAGGUUUCCAGAGGAAGGCUCGUCCGCUCUGGGUUAGUCGGGUCCUAAGCUGAGGCCGACAGGCGUAGGCGAUGGAUAACAGGUUGAUAUUCCUGUACCACCUAUAAUCGUUUUAAUCGAUGGGGGGACGCAGUAGGAUAGGCGAAGCGUGCGAUUGGAUUGCACGUCUAAGCAGUAAGGCUGAGUAUUAGGCAAAUCCGGUACUCGUUAAGGCUGAGCUGUGAUGGGGAGAAGACAUUGUGUCUUCGAGUCGUUGAUUUCACACUGCCGAGAAAAGCCUCUAGAUAGAAAAUAGGUGCCCGUACCGCAAACCGACACAGGUAGUCAAGAUGAGAAUUCUAAGGUGAGCGAGCGAACUCUCGUUAAGGAACUCGGCAAAAUGACCCCGUAACUUCGGGAGAAGGGGUGCUCUUUAGGGUUAACGCCCAGAAGAGCCGCAGUGAAUAGGCCCAAGCGACUGUUUAUCAAAAACACAGGUCUCUGCUAAACCGUAAGGUGAUGUAUAGGGGCUGACGCCUGCCCGGUGCUGGAAGGUUAAGAGGAGUGGUUAGCUUCUGCGAAGCUACGAAUCGAAGCCCCAGUAAACGGCGGCCGUAACUAUAACGGUCCUAAGGUAGCGAAAUUCCUUGUCGGGUAAGUUCCGACCCGCACGAAAGGCGUAACGAUUUGGGCACUGUCUCAACGAGAGACUCGGUGAAAUCAUAGUACCUGUGAAGAUGCAGGUUACCCGCGACAGGACGGAAAGACCCCGUGGAGCUUUACUGUAGCCUGAUAUUGAAAUUCGGCACAGCUUGUACAGGAUAGGUAGGAGCCUUUGAAACGUGAGCGCUAGCUUACGUGGAGGCGCUGGUGGGAUACUACCCUAGCUGUGUUGGCUUUCUAACCCGCACCACUUAUCGUGGUGGGAGACAGUGUCAGGCGGGCAGUUUGACUGGGGCGGUCGCCUCCUAAAAGG